UCCGCCUCCGCCUCCGCUGCGUCGCGGUGGACGUCCGCUGUCUCGCAGCGGUACCAGCACCUGCUGGAUAUGUCGGUGCCGCACGUGUUGCGACGCUGGCGGUGGCCUGGGCGUACGUCGUCCGGGGCUUCCUUCGUGAAGGCGUUCUACAUCGUGACGUCGACGCUGGGCAUCUACAUGUUGAACCUGUUCAUCGGCUUCCUCUCCCCUCAGGUCGACUCGGAGCUCCAGGAACUCGAUGGCGGCGGCGGCGGCGGCGGCGGCCUGUCCCUCCACACCUGAGGCUCCGACGAGUUCAGGCCCUUCGUCCGCCGCCUCCCCAAGUUCAGGUGUCGCGCUGUGAUGGAAAGAGAGCAUCUUCGACUGAGAGCGCGAGCCUUCCGAGGAAUUAAAUAUUUCAAGUAUGAUCUAUCUAUAGUUCUCGAGUAGGCUUGUCUUAUCCCUGGUGUCAUGCCAGCUGAUGGAGCUUUCUCACAGCAAAAGAUUGGCUCAAAAACUAUUUUGGCAUGUUGCCUGAUACUCCACCUAUCUUAAAGAGAUCUUUUAGAAAGCCUACAAAAACCAUCAUGGAAACUUCUCAAGAGGAGUGUAUUGAUUGUGAUUUUUCUGUCUUAGCUUUUAUAAGGGGUAGUCCCAAUUUGUUCUUUA